UAUGGUCGGGGUCGUGGUGCUGCCACCGGGAUUGGUCGGAUUCACAACCGGUAUAUCUCCUUGUCCCUGAGCUAAAACAUUUGGAGCUGAAAGCAAUCAAAAGACAACAACCAGGUUAGAUGAGAGGAAACCAAUAGAAGAAGGAAGUUGCCUGGGAAGAAGUUUGAUGGCAUUGAUGGAGGGAAUAUAUAAACAAGAACAGAAUCAUAAGAGGGCAAAGAAUCAGAGAUUUCUUGGGAUGGGAGAGAGUCGCCAUGGCGAGUAGAAGUAGUGGAAGAAGAAGGGAAUAAAAGAAGACUUGAGAAAGGAGGAAUUUGUAAGAAGCUUGGGGAUAGGAAACGCAUUAAAGAGGAAAAGGUAUAAUCAUGUAUGUAGUCUUGGUUAUAAAACGAUCAAAUAUGGCUAUUGGUAUAUGAUUUUUGCUUCGAGGGUUUGAUUAUAUUACAUUGAUAUUUAUCAAAUAUGAGUAACGAAUGUAGUGGAAGAGUUUCAUGAAGCCGAUGAUGUAAUUCAAACAAGUUGGUGACGAGUUUUUAACCCUUUGGAAAAAAUAUUUUGUUGGAAUUUCGUUGGUGAUUAA